CAUUUAAAGAGUGCGUAAUAGCUCACUAGUCGAGUGACACUGCGCCGAAAAUGUACCGGGGCUAAACAUAUUACCGAAGCUGUGGAUUGUCCUUUGGACAAUGGUAGGAGAGCGUUCUAAGGGCGUUGAAGCAUGAUCGUAAGGACAUGUGGAGCGCUUAGAAGUGAGAAUGCCGGUGUGAGUAGCGAAAGACGGGUGAGAAUCCCGUCCACCGAUUGACUAAGGUUUCCAGAGGAAGGCUCGUCCGCUCUGGGUUAGUCGGGUCCUAAGCUGAGGCCGACAGGCGUAGGCGAUGGAUAACAGGUUGAUAUUCCUGUACCACCUCCUCACCAUUUGAGCAAUGGGGGGACGCAGGAGGAUAGGGUAAGCGCGCUGUUGGAUAUGCGCGUCCAAGCAGUUAGGCUGCAAGUGAGGCAAAUCCCACUUGCAUAAGGCU
rnacentral:rRNA from 1 species